UACAGAGGUCUCAAGCGUUGUUCGGAUUCAUUGGGCGUAAAGGGUGCGUAGGUGGCGAUGCAAGUCUGGUGUGAAAUCUUGGGGCUCAACCUCAAAAUUGCACCGGAUACUGCGUUGCUUGAGGAUUGUAGAGGAGAGUGGAAUUCACGGUGUAGCAGUGAAAUGCGUAGAUAUCGUGAGGAAGACCAGUUGCGAAGGCGACUCUCUGGGCAAUUCCUGACACUGAGGCACGAAGGCCAGGGGAGCAAAC
rnacentral:rRNA from 1 species